CCUACGGGUGGCAGCAGUGAGGAAUAUUGGUCAAUGGGCGCGAGCCUGAACCAGCCAAGCCGCGUGAGGGAGGAAGGUACAGAGUAUCGUAAACCUCUUUUGUCAGGGAACAAAGGCGGGGACGUGUCCCCGGAUGAGUGUACCUGAAGAAAAAGCAUCGGCUAACUCCGUGCCAGCAGCCGCGGUAAUACGGAGGAUGCGAGCGUUAUCCGGUUUUAUUGGGUUUAAAGGGUGCGCAGGCGGUCUGUUAAGUCAGCGGUCAAAGCCCGGGGCUCAACCCCGGGCCGCCGUUGAAACUGGCAGUCUCGAGUUGGAGAGAAGUAUGCGGAAUGCGCGGUGUAGCGGUGAAAUGCAUAGAUAUCGCGCAGAACUCCGAUUGCGAAGGCAGCAUGCCGGCUCCACACUGACGCUGAGGCACGAAAGCGUGGGUAUCGAACAGGAUUAGAUACCCCAGUAGUC
rnacentral:rRNA from 1 species